AGAUGAGGUACAAGAUGACACUGACCCUGAGGAAUGCCCGGAAAUGGAAUGGUUGGAAGAUGGAUGAUGGGGGUUGGGCGUGGUCCACACACAGACAUGCAGAGGGAAUGGAUGCCACGGUGACAGAGGCAGCAUCUCCCUUCUCUAGUAGAGUGUGGGUGUGGGCUGGAAAUGAGUUAGGACUUGAUUGCAUCCUGUAAGGCUACUCCUCUGCAUUCACCAAUGUGGAGCAUAAGACACUCGUGGCUCUUCGAGCCUGUGUAUCUGCUCUGCUCAUCCCACAAACACAGUAGUGACCGAGUUCAGAGCACCAGAAAUGUGUGAGGAGGCUGCAGUGGGCAGGGAAGCCGGAGAGUGGAGUUUGUGCAAAAAAACAACAAAACACCUAAGCAGGAUUUUCUGAGGGAGCUGAUAGGAGUGUUGAAACGAGAGACUUAAAAAGGUUUCCUUGCAGACCAGGAGAAAAACCCAACAACUGAAAGUUGAAAGCAGGCAGUAACAAACAUGGUUGUCCUUGCCCCUUGUCCCUGCGGGUCCUACUCAUGGCCCCAAGACAUAAGGAAACAGGCAUGCCCAGCAUGGAGAGAUGUGAUGUAAGUGCCAUUGACGGUUGUUAAGAGAGUUUAAUGCGUUUGAGUUUGGCAUAGACCUUGACUUUCUGCUUGCCCUCAGGUGACAACACAGGCAGUUUAUCAUUCUCAGACAUCAAGCUUGUUCUACUCAACCCCUCAGAAGUCAAGUUGAGUGCCGCAGAAGAAGUGGCUUUGCUUUUUAGCCCAUCUUGGCAAUUGUCUGGAAGAGUCAGAUGACAGCAUGAGGCUGGGCAGAGUUCCAGGGGUCAGUUGGGCAAAGCACUGGUGCCAGUGGUUGGAAGGAUGCCUAGCUUCUGCUGACCAUAGUUCUUCCUGGAUGACAACUGGGAAGACAGCCACCCCCUGUUCCAACAGUGAAGGAGAGUCCUCCUGAGGACAUCUAUUCAUCUGCACUGAACACAAUUUCCACGUGACUUCCAAGUACUUUAGACCAAGCAAGCCACCAUUCUUAACUACUGAUAUGAAAUGCAUCCAAACUCACAUAUCGGCAAGGCUGCAGAAGAUUCUCCUAGAUGGCUCAAUGCCUGUGCCGUCUUCAUCGUGUGUGUGUGUGUGUGUGUGUGUGUGUGUGUGUGUGUGUGUGUGUGUGUGUAUGUACACACGUGCCUUCUCCACCUCACCCAUACCUCUACUCAAUGAUUUCCUGUGCCUUUCCCUAGCCACGCCCACCAAACCUUUCCUAUCCCUAAACUAAUGACAGCAUUUAGCUUUUUUUUUUUUUUUUGGUUUCUGUGUUUCACACUAACCAUUCCAAGUGCUGCUGGCCCUCAAAAUCUGUCAUUCUUUUAAGUGGAGACAUAGGUAAGGUGUUGUGAAAGUGGUAGGAGAAAGAAUUAUAAAAUCCCGUCCCAGGAGUGACAGCAGACGAGAGCAAACACCCCCUUAACAAGGACCCCACACUGGUGAUAUUGGCCUCAGUCAAUUUGUGUAGGCACACAGCUCAUGGGCUUCUCCCCUCUUCAAGGUCUUCACACCGUCCCAUUGGGAAGUAACACAGACUGGUGGACCCAUCCAAACCCAGAAGUGGGGAUGAGGAGAAACAGAAAUGUUAAUCACAUUGUUAAUGAGAAUGUAAAUUGAUGUCGUCCACCAUAGGAAAAAAGACUUGUCAGUUAUUAAAAAUUCAAACACAGAAUGAGCCAUAUAAACAACCCAGCAUUUCCACACCUGGGGAUGUUCCCAGGAGAACUGACGACAGGCACUCAAGGACUUACCUGUGAGUGUUUAUAAUAGCAUCCAUUAUAAGAGGCGAAUAGGAAACAACCCAAGAUAUGACUGAAUGUAUGAAAUGUGCUUUGACUCACAAGGGAUUGUUAAAUCUGAAAAGGAACGAAGCGUAAGUACACACUACCACAUGGAUGAACCUUGAAAACAUGCCAGUAAGGUACACUUCAUCCACUUUUACAAGUCUCAGCAGCUCUGCACAGACAGAAGGUAGACGAAUGAUCGCAAGACAGUAGGAGAAAUAGGAAGGGAAGAGACUACGGAGACAAUGGCUUCUCUUAGAAGCGCUGGGAGUGUUCUAGAACCAGACAGAGACAAGAACAGAACAGGACAUCCUAGGACAGUUCGUGAACUACAUUCAGAGAGUAGGAGAAAUGUGAGCAAGACCAGGCGGAGAAGCUGAGUGACGAGAGCAUGAUGAGCAAGGCCAGUCGGAGAAGCCGAGUGCCGAGAGCAUGAUGGGAUAAGUUGGUCCUAGUGCAUGAGCCUCCCAACUCACAGACCGAGAGCAUGAUGGGAUAAGUUGGUCCUAGCGCAUGAGCUUCCUAACCCACAGAGGCUGCAUCCUGAAAAAAGAGCAGAUCACCGAAGAGAAAGGUCAGGGCAGAGAGAACAUCUUGUCUUGUGCAUCAGAAUUCAGAGGGCUAGAUCAACGUUAGAACAGCCAAGAGCAUCAAAGGGAACAAUGGGGAGAAGACUCUGCUACGUCAGCCCCUGGGUCUGUCGUAUCCUUGGACUUUAAGAGGACUCAUCCAUUCAAUCCUCUCUGAUGCACAGGUGGGAGUAGUGACCUGCUCCCUGACUACAUAAAGCUAUAUAUAUGUAUCCUCAGUUACUUAAGACUGAUAUAGAUUUACGUCUCUGAGACCGGUAGGUUCUUCAAGCUUCUUCCCUGCCGCAAAGAGAAUCCAUCAAGAAUGAUGACAGCAGCCGGGGCAAGCAAAGGGUGUGAACUCUUGGGAAUCUCGGAGACAACCUUGGCAGGACAGACAAGGAAAUCAAGAGCUUCAGGUCACUCUGUGACUUGAGAGGCAGAACCAAGGACAUGAGAUGUCUGGUCUGGAGCUCUCCAACAUUGUCUGAGAUGGCAGGAGUCCACCACACUCAGCUUUCUGGAUGUGAGCUACAGUAAGGAUGAACUAUACCAAACUUAGGUAAUGUUUGCUUUUAACAGUGCCUUAAUGAUAUAGCUGAAAGCAGUGGGUUCUCACCUUCAUGAUUACAAAGCACUGACCAAGCACUACCCAAGAAUAAGAGUGGAAAAAGAUUGGCCGGAGACUUCCUUUCAGGGUGAUACCCUCAUCCAGCAAAGGAUGAACGAGAAUCCCUGAAAAGAAGUUGAGCCUGUAAAGACUGGCUUGUGCUGCAGCCGUGUGGAGCUUUGGAAGGUCUCAGGGUCAGAGCCUAAUGACCUUAGAUCAGGUUCGUUUUACGGCACUAAAUGUACAUCCCUGGCUCACCUCUGUGUCCGAACUUGCAUCUUGGAGCCAGGCAGUGUGGUGCAAGCCUUUAAUCCCAGCAGGCAGAGGCAGGUGGAUCUCUGCGUGUGAGGCCAGCCUGGUCUAGUUAGUUCCAAGAUAGCUCAGGCUUACAAAAACAAACAAACAAACAAAAACCCAAACAAACAGAAAAAUACAAGACAACAACAAAACCCAAACCUUUUGAGAUCUAGUGACUUUGCUUCACCAACCAAAAAAACCUAAGAAUGUAUCAGAUAGCAUCUGAAGCCUAUAGACAGAUUUUCCCGUCUUGCUGUAACCACAUCUGUGAAGCAACCAUCAAUGUAUUUAUAAGCUGCCUUGGUUGGUGGCUUUCUUUGUUCUGAUAGUAAAACACUCUAUGAAACCACUAGCAUAGGGGGAACGUGGGACUUUGGGUAAUCUAGCUCUGUGUUUCCCAGGCUACGAUUACUCAAAUUUGGCUUCAGAAUCAACUAUUUCCUUUGUCACGAGAGCUGUUUGUUCUUGUGUUGAAAGAAGCAUCAGGGGGC
rnacentral:sRNA from 1 species